GCCAGUGUAGCUCAGUGGUAGAGCAACUGAUUCGUAAUCAGUAGGUCGGAGGUUCGAAUCCUCUCGCUGGCU
rnacentral:tRNA from 1 species